GGGGGCUUGUAGUGGGAAAGGUAAUGUAUAGUGAAGAUGAAACUCAUGCAUAUCCUUUGCUGUAGACUGAAGCUUAUGGACAGAUGGGUGGAUAGAUGGCAUUUCGCUGCCUCCAUAUUUAUAUCCUGGAACAUAGGGCCUUCCUCACUCCGGACAUCCCAGCUGCUGCACCCCUGGCCUACUCCGCGUGAGACAGGUCAACGCAGAGUCCCCUCUAGUGGCUGACUUGCCUGGAGAAAGAGUGCAAAGGGAAACUUGUUUGGCUGCUUUUUAUUUCUGGAGAUCUCCCUUUAGCUGGAAAAGGCAUCGGUGAUGGGGGGGCCUCAGUAAAUAGAGCUGUCUGAACUAGCAGGCCGUUUAAAUUCUAAUACAGCAAUUUAAUGAACUCUUGUCUUUAAUUCCUGUGACGUGGAGAAGACAGCCAUUCUCUCCCCAUAAAGGAGCUUGUUAACCCAUCUCUUCACUGACUGGAGCUUUUAUUAUUAUGAUGACGACUGGAGAACUUAUUAUGUUAAAAUAACAGGUUUCCCAAGUGCCUGGCAGAGAAGGGGGUUCCUAAUGAUGCUGAUCUUCUGUAGGAAUCACAGUGGCCACUGGCUUAUGUGGCACAGGCAUUAUUAUGUCCGCACUUGCUGAAGGACCAUGUGUGAAGACCUGGUGCUUGUUGUCCUAGAUUAUUGGGGCGGCGGAGGGUGAAGCAGCAGGCACACAUAGUGGCCGUGAGGGCAGGUGAGGGCUCUGCUAGCCGGGAUGCAGCUGCCAGUGUGGAGGCCACAACCAGCGGGAGGCCCCUGUGUGUAGCUGUGAUGCUGGAGUCAUUGUGCCCAGUUUAUCACACACCUCAUGAAAAUAUAAUCUGCCACCAAAAUGACUGCUUUUGGAAACUGUCUUGUCUCUUUUGAGUUGAGACUGGAGACAACCAGACAAGGUUCGGUGGUAACAAAUAAAGAAACAUUACUUUCCGAACACAAUCUUCUGUUACCAGUCACUUUUCAACAGACAUUCAAUCAAAAUGCUAAUAGCGACAGCAGCCAGGGAACAUGGUUAUUGUAAUACUAAUUGAUUGGUUGGAGGGUGGGUUUUGGUAAGUGCGGCUUAAGAUUUCAGAAAUAUGAUUCUCUUUAAUUACAGCGACACUAAUAAAAAUGAGCAAAUGAUUUAAUGGUGAUUUCCUGGGUAAUGGCUUAAUGAUUUUGAGUUUAAAAUGAGAUAUGGUGGAAAUGCCCCAGAAAAAGAGGGCCCUGGUGGGUGGCCUUGCCUUUAUCAAACUCAGGCCAAGCGUCAAGUCCAGAAUGCCCUUGGCAGGCUAUGUGGAAGGUGCAUAGUCAAGAGUGCUGGAGGCCCCUCCCAGCCUGCCGGGGAUGGUGAGGCAGUGGGUACAUUCCAGCUUGAAGUCACUGGUAUUUCCAGAGUCAGGACUGGGUUGCAUGUGGGCAGCCACGUGUUUGCUGUGGGUUUUCCCAGUUGGCCAGGGGCAGAGCGACCCCCACUCUACUAACAGAGACACAUCCUGUGCUCCAGGCUCUUGCCUUUCGUGCUCUAGCCCCAUGACCACUCUGUGCUGGGCAUCCUCUGUGUUCUAGUUGAAGCAGUUCUGCAGAGAACAAGGCUGGCCAAAGCCUAGCCCUCCUGAGCUGAUCAUCUUUGGGGAGAAGGAACACAGAUCAUGUGAUUUCAGGUCCGUAACCAAGGAAGCUAUGUCAGAGGAUUGCUGACUUUCCAGAAAGUGCUGCACUGCCCCAGGGCUGCAGCUGACAACCCCCUCCCACCUUUGGUUUUCAGACUUAUUUUGCUAAGAAGAAUGAGCAGAGAGGAGUGGCAUUUCUCACAACCCCAUCCCAUGUCCCGCCGGUGCUCGGGGAUGGAGCCUGCCUGCUGCUGGAGUGGGGAGCUGACGAAAUAUUUAAAUAAAGGCUCUGGGAAAAGGA